UUCAGUUCUUUGAGUUUUGCUUCACGUGGGCAGUUGUUACAAGGACACUUGAAUGAUGAUUGAGGAUUUUGUCGAACUUUAAAUAACUGAAGAAUCUCGCCAGACGCUAUGUUGCGGGUCUAUUUCGCCCUCUACCUUGUCUUGCAGGCAGGUCGCUAAGGGUUAAAGGUUUAUUUGUUUUACACACUGUUUUAUUUGGUCUCCUGUACAUGAAGAAAGCUGUGACAGUUCAAAGGAAAAUGAAAGUGUUUUAUUGUUAACUACUUAUGCACUUUUGUGAAAAACCCUAUAAAAUAUAACAGUUAGACUGGGAAGGUUAAAUAUUCCUCUGGGAGUGAAAGCUGUUUAUUAAUUUAGUGUGUACAUCCAGAAUAUGAAAAAUGAGUGAUUGCUUGUUAUAGAUGAUAGGCAGAUGUAUCCAAACUGUUCCACAAACCAAGCAGCAGCACACCUGACUUAAUCAACUGAUCUCAGUCUUCAGACAGCUGAUUGGUCAAACGGUGUGCUCUUGACUGGUUGAAAUAAAAAACCUGCAGCCACACGGCCCUUUGAAAUGUGACUGUGAAUGGAUUCUGUGUAGUACUAUUGAGGUGCUGAUAUUCUUGGAUUCUUGUUUUAUAUUUAUCAUCAUAUUUAUCUGAUGUGUCACUAUUGUGCAAUAAGACUUCAUACCAUUUUUCUGUCUGUGCAAUUGUCUUCCAGUGUGAUAUUUUCUUGCAAUGCUACACACUGUGGUCAUAUCUGUAAUAGGUGUGUAUCAUGUACAUAGUUUUUAUCUCUCACUCAGUCUUUUUCUUCUUCUUCUUUUUCUUCUGAGCUGCUGUAACAAGUGGAUUUCCCCUGUGGGGCUCAGUGGUAGUUUCAUCUCAUCUCAUCUCUCAUCUCUACGAGGACUAGAACAGAGGAAUAUGUGGGGUUGAGAUGUACUGCAGCAAAGUCAGAGAGCAUCUCAUUCUGCCGACGCCUCCAUUUGUUACCGAGUGGUGUGCAACUAGUGAAGCAAAGACGCUCUGCUCGCCACCAGCACUGAUGCACAGCAGAAAAAAAAAGAUAAGUUUAAUAAAUGUAUAUUGAUUUCAUAGUGUAAUAUUGUUGUCACUCUGCUCUACACCCCCCCACCCCCCCCCCCCACCCCCCCCUCACACCCCCAGCAACAUGACAACACAAAAACAUGGGGUUUUUAUUAAUGAUGAUGUUGGAAAUAUACCCUGGCUCUCACCAAACAGGCACGCUGAAGAGAUGAGAAGGUGAUGUCAGAAUUUGCUGAACACGCCUCCGUCUCUUCUCCCACAUGCUAUCGACACUUUGAAGCCUAGGGAAUGUUUAAGUAUUGAACCUGAGCAGGUGCACGGGUGCUGCUGAUUGCAUGCACGUUGAGAUGAAAGAUUAUUUUCAGUUAGAUCCAUGUUUUGUGAGAGCUCCAGGUGCGCAGGCGGUCGUUGGUCCCUACAUGCAGCACUGUGCAGCAAAGUCAGAAGUGUGUCCAAAGUGACGGGGACUGUGGCUGCCAUAGACCUGUAUUUACGUUGACUUUGUCAGACGAUGUUGUGAUCAUAAAGUAGCGUACACCUGUAGAUUUUUAUCAGCAACCAGCUCGCAGUCGGCUCUGCUGAAACCAAAUCCAUUUCUUUGUAUUUCUUAUCUGCCCCCCCCCGCCCGAUGUCUGCAUUAAAACACAGCAGAGGUGACCACAAAGAGGACAGGAGCGUGGGUCUUCAUGCAUUAGUUAUUAAUGGUUGAAUGCUAUCUCUCCACAGAGAGAGACUGUAAAAACUAAUGUACGAAUAAAAAGGUCACAGCUCCUGUCCGAGGUGUUGAACCUGGAGGGGGGGGGGGGGGGGGGGGGGGGGGGGGGUGUAAUCUCUUUCAUAAGCUCUAAAUUAUUGAUGUAUAAAAUUAGCUGCAGUAUCAUUGGCUGCGUUUACACACAACACUUUCAGCUGAAAGCAUCAUUGCACAUGAUGCAGUCGAGAGGCCUAAUGGGGGGGUGAACAUUCCCAAACAAAAGAAAGGCAAUAGAAAAUAGAUUUUCAACUGUCUGCAAUUUAAAUACUGCUGCGUGGUUUGUGGGGGGGGGGGGCUAACAGAUCAAAUAUGAGAAUGUUGCACCAAUGGACCAUUAGUAGAACAACGUAUAACAUUUUGUGUUAGUGCAAGUCUGAUAGAUGCUGCAUAUCGUGCUCUGUUGGUACUGUAUGGCAAGGGGAUUCAUCAGAAUUGUGGCUGAGUUUGCAUGAGGAAGCCGUUUGGAAUAAUUCUUGAGUGAAUAUCCUCACACACGAGCACCACUUUCCACUGCUGGGCUCCUUUGAAGAGGCUCGAUCCUGCACAGUGCUCCAAGGCCACAGAGGUUUCAUCCAUGAACAACAACAUCUCAUUUUUUCUCAAUGCCUCUGAAGAGCCUGUGGCCUGGUCUGAUGAAUCCACAGUGCUUCUAUGGCAAAGGACUGAAAAGAAAGUAUUUAUAAUUACAUAUCCUGUGUAUAUGUUUGAGAUGCUGCAGCUUUGAUACAUUUAAAAAAAAGAAAAAAAUCUAUUUUCAUUUCAGCAGCAGCAGGCGGGAAAAGUCCCCCCUCGUCAGGAAGAAAUUGCUGCUUUUUAUGAUGUGUUUUAUUCUUCAUUUACCAGUCUUUUACCUGUGCUGUGUAACCAUAAGCUAAGUCAGUGUGUUUUUCCUCGUGGCAGGUCGCAGUUUGUUCCCACCCCAACGCCUCUCCUGCUCCAGAAGUUGGUCCAUGCACACAGCGGAGACAGGGCAGUGGUGAACAUGUGUGCACGAUCUGGGAGUAAGAUCCAGCCUAUCAAGGAUCCGACGGCUCGAAGAAUCAGAGCAGCAAGGAUUUAUCAAAGCACCCACAGCAAAGAAGGACAGUGCCUGGUACUGCUGAGCACGAGGACCAUCCUGAAGGUGGAAGGGAAGGUGGAAUGGAUCCACGCCACAGAGCGAAUCCUCUGUGCAACCCUGUAUCUCCUCCUUGGCGUAGGAGGAGCUGCCUUCAUCCUCCUCAAUCUCCAGGAAGCAUCCAAGUGAAAACCUUGGAUCACGUCCAAAUAAGACCGUUGCAACGAGAUUUGGACGAACUGCGAAACCUGUUGCAGGGAUGACUGCAGAGCCGGGCUUCAGUGUCAUGGUUUGAGGGCAGAAUAAUCUCUUUCACCCCAGGAGCGCAGCCAGUGGCGUAGCCAAUGAAGCCCUUACACAGAUUCAAGUAGAAGUGGCUGGACUGUGCAGUGAGAUGGGACGCUGUCUGUCCUUGUCAGAUGAAAGGAGACAAGUCUGGUUUUGGCUUCAAGAAUGUUCGCAGAAAGUCUUUGCGGUGCUUGCAUCAUGUUCAAGUGACUACAGACUGGGAAUAUGGCUCCUGUGAGGCUUCCCAGAAUGCCGGAAGGAGCUGGCACGCGAAGCAGUCCAGGUGGUAGACGUUCUCCUUGGCCCUCAUGACCAUCUCGAAGGCUGGAAUUAGCUUGCUGCAGGCUGCGCAGUUCCCUGUUACGCCAAACAACCUGAGCACACAAAGAAGACACACGAUGGCAGUCGGCCUGCGAUCAAUAACCAUCACGAGGCUGAGGCAGAGCAGAAUGAGGGUCUGAUGGCAGCGAAGGUGGCAGAUGUCCCUGUUUACUGUCCCAAAAACCUCCACCAAUCCGAUGAUCCACAAAGUGCUAAGGUCCUGCCGAGACUCCAGCCCACAGCUACCGCUGCAGACGUUCCGAGUGAGUGUGUGGAGGCUGAGCCCUGAGCAGAGAGGAUGGAGAGAGAGAGAGAGAGAGAGAGAGAGAGAGAAAGAGAAAGAGAGAGAGACGGAGCUCUCAGGUCACAGUCACUGGUUCUGUGAAUCUACAGCAGCAGCCUCUCUCGUCGGCCUGAGCCUCAUCGGCCUCGGCUGAUCCCAGAUCAGAGCCCUGGUCUCUGAGCUGCUCUCAGCCCUACAGCUACAUCUGAUUGGAUCUCCACUGAGCUGCCAGACCCUUGUCUGUCUUCAUCUGCUCCGGCGGGCCACAUUAAUCAUGCAUGGAUCCCGCCUGCCGGAACACACCUGCUUUUGUCACUUGGAGCUAUUUAGCAUCAACGGUUAAAAGGAGAGAGAGAGCGGUGCAGGUUCACGGCGGGGGAAAGAGCGUUGUCUUCCCCCUCCCGGGCAUCAGAAAGGUUCCACCGCGCUCCACUUUCCAGAGGUAGCGAUGGCGAGCAACGUUGUGCUGAUGGGUCAAGAAACGCGAGUCAGGCGAUCAGACGGGGGUUGGAAACAAACCAGCAGUUUCUAAAACCACUUCACUGGAGGUCACACUGAAAAUUUAACCUGCAGCCGUUAACCGAGCUGCAGGUUCUGCUGCGGUCACACCAAAGACAAAAACGUGGCGAGGCGCAAGGACAGAAAGCUUCUCCUCAGAGCCUGUUAGUCUGCAGCACCUAACAGUGACUCGCUCUCAUCACAGAGCUGAAACGGAGCGAGGUGCACCCGGGCCCCUACAGCAGGCCCGGUUUUGUCCUUUGGCAAAAGAGAAGAGGCAGAACUAAGUUCCAGAGCAGAAAAAAAAAAAGUCUGCAGAAUCACCUCUGGUAAUAUGUCAGAAGGGAGCCGUCCAAAUCCAAAGAAUAGCUGGGCCAAAGAGUAUUGACCGUUCUUAUUAGUCCACAGAGAGUUAAUGGAGAUUACUUAAUUCAAGCUCCUAUUCAUUUCGUCAGAAUAUAAAACAAGAGCAGCAGCAGUCAGAGAGAGAGAGAGAGAGAGAGAGAGAGCGGCGAAAGGCUGUCUCAUUCUCUUCGACUCUGAACAGGAAAUAAUAGACAGUGGCCAGCAACAAGUGGAAGAUGAAAACAGCAAUCAAAGAGAGGCUGCAGCUUGAGCUUCUGAAAACACCGGACAGCCAGACAUGAUUGAUUUCAGCGAAACAUAUCGAGUUUGCUCGGCUGAGAUGACAUGUGACAGACGCAAACUGCAGAAAGUGAGAAGACGGAGAACAAAGGAGAGCCUACUCUGCAAUUCCUCCGACAAACUUCAAACAUCAGACUGUCCCGGCAAGCUCUGAAAACCUGCUCUGCACACAUGAAUCGGCCCCCGCGUGCUCUCAAACCUCAACUUUUUUUUUUUUUUUCCCCCAAGCUUAAGACAAAAUAUUAACAAAAGUGAUUUAAUGACACAAGAUCUGUGACUGAGAUUACAUUGGUUUGAAUUUUCACUCUUAAAAAAUCUAUAUCUGUGUAGUUUGUCUUUAGGUUUUGCCACAUUUGUAUUGUCCCCGUUGAUUUUUCACUGGUGUCGGUUCAGGUGCUGUUCAUGGUUUUCCCACAACAAUAACAAGACACGCAAUCUAAAAUGGCCGACAAAAUUAACAGUAACUUGUGAAUCGAUUACUGUUUAAAUUCAUUUCUCGUUCCCUCAAUUAUUUUGCCAUGAAUAAAUAUCCACUAAGUGGAAAGUUCAGAGCCUGAUAAUUGGAACAACUACAGCACAAGUACUGAGAGACUUCAGUUAAAUGGCAGAACACAGUUCAUCCAACUCAGACUCUAUACUGGGCUGGAUAUUGUUUCAUCAUUUUCAUACAGGUACAAACUGAAAAUACCUCAACACCAGCUGUCUCUGUCUGCAUCGUAUAUGGUACUGUGUAUGGUGCCAUACU